GACUGUAGUCGUUGCAGUUAAUCCUUAGGUCGCUGGUUCGAAUCCGGCAGGUCGGAUUU
rnacentral:sRNA from 1 species